GAUGAACGCUAGCGGCAGGCUUAACACAUGCAAGUCGAGGGGCAGCGUAAUGAAGUAGCAAUACGGAUUUGAUGGCGACCGGCGCAAGGGUGCGUAACGCGUGAGCAACUUGCCCGUUUCUGGGGAAUAACCGGUGGAAACGCCGACUAAUACCCCAUAGUAUGUUUUUAAGGCAUCUUUUAAACAUUAAAGAAUUUCGGAAACGGAUAGGCUCGCGUGACAUUAGCUAGAUGGCGGGGUAACGGCCCACCAUGGCGACGAUGUCUAGGGGUUCUGAGAGGAAGGUCCCCCACACUGGAACUGAGACACGGUCCAGACUCCUACGGGAGGCAGCAGUGAGGAAUAUUGGUCAAUGGUCUGACGACUGAACCAGCCAUGCCGCGUGAAGGUGACGGCCCUAUGGGUCUUAAACUUCUUUUGUUAGGGAGCAAUAAGGUCUACGUGUAGAUUGAUGAGAGUACCUAACGAAUAAGCAUCGGCUAACUCCGUG
rnacentral:rRNA from 1 species